rnacentral:rRNA from 1 species
AUUGAACGCUGGCGGCAGGCCUAACACAUGCAAGUCGAACGAGUGGCGGACGGGUGAGUAAUGUAUGGGAAACUGCCCGAUAGAGGGGGAUAACUACUGGAAACGGUAGCUAAUACCGCAUACCAUCGGAUGUACCCAUAUGGGAUUAGCUAGUAGGUGGGGUAACGGCUCACCUAGGCGACGAUCCCUAGCUGGUCUGAGAGGAUGACCAGCCACACUGGAACUGAGACACGGUCCAGACUCCUACGGGAGGCAGCAGUGGGGAAUAUUGCACAAUGGGCGCAAGCCUGAUGCAGCCAUGCCGCGUGUAUGAAGAAGGCCUUAGGGUUGUAAAGUACUUUCAGCGAGGAGGCGUUACUCGCAGAAGAAGCACCGGCUAACUCCGUGCCAGCAGCCGCGGUAAUAC